UGGGAGGUGCAUUAGCUCUCAGCCACACUCCAUCAUUUCUGCUUCAUUUUGUCCUCCAACAGAGAGAGAUGCACUCACCUGGAGGGUUGUGUGGCUUAGGGCUGCUCUGAUUACCUCUGCUGUCAGAGGAUACCCUGCUGUCUCUUUGGCCAGAGGGGAGAGGAUAAGACCAGCUGUCGCCUGGUCUCCUACAUCAGAGUGUGGUCCAGUGGGGACCUUGACGCGGCCGAGUGGGAUCCACUGCUGUGCUAAGCCUCUGACUCACUGCUCUGCUCCCCCAGCUCAGCAACAUCAUGAAUAAUGGAUUGGGGAAAUACAUUUAUCUUUUAAUGACUAUGGCCCCCUGGCUGGGGCUGAGGGGGCGGCAGGCCAAGGUUCAUACUUGCCGAUUGUCGCUUGUCUUUUUGAAGUCGGUAACUUCUUAGUGUCCUAGAGAAGCGUAAUCAGGCUUGAAUUGGAGGGUCAUUUUUUGAAGGAGCGGUCAUCCUCAAGUUUGCCAAUGGAAGGCUUUGCUUGCUGUUGAGUCAGUGCAAUAAUUAUAAUUCCAGCGGUCGGUUGUUCUGGAAUUGUUUUACCACCUACAUUACUUUCUGAUUGUGAUGUGUGAACUAAAAACAUUGAGUGACGAGAUCUGUCAUUAGGUCCUCGCAUAAAUAUUGUAAAGGGGUUGUGAGUGUGCCUCUCAGUUGGUUCAAAAUUACUUUAGAUUUUUUAGUUGUUUUUGCAAAUUGUCUUCUAUGAAGUUAUCGUAGGGGAGGCACAUUGAUUUAUGGAUGUGUAUUCAGCUGUGACACUAUGAAUUAGGCCUACUUAUUGACUCCAAAUUGAAGCUGUAGCCUUGAGAAAAAUGCACACAGAUUGUAUUAUGCUGAUAAAAUGAAGCUAGGCAUUCAUAUUUGUCUCAUCUAUUAAAAAUGUGUAUUUUGAAACCUCUGAAAUGGGUUUAUUUUUGUGAUAGCAAGAAAAGAAUGGCCAUGGGACUCGGUGAGUAUCUUUUUGGUACUUUAUUUAAUGAGUGAGCCUUGGACAAGUAAGCUGUGUCUGAGCCAGAACGGCCCAAUAGUUAUUUAUUGAGCUGUAAAAAUGUAGAAAGAAAUCAUGGAGUAAUGAAAUAAUAGAAUUAUAAUGUGGUUGCUCCACCCUUGGCAUGCAUGCACACAUGGUGCUGAAUAUAAACGCUAAAAAAUACUAAUAAUUGUGUCGCCAAAUAAAGGAUUUAAAGAUGAAAUAUCAAAUAAAGAUCAUCUGUUUCAAAUAGAUGGGUUUGCUGAUAAUGUCACAAAAUUGAUGAGUGUGCAUAUAUGGGACAGAAGUCAAUGUGUUGUUAUGAUUCUGGAAGGUCAGACUGCUAGAACCAAUGACUAGAAGCUGCCAUGUGGUAAUCCUAGGUGGCUCGUUUCAGCAUGUUGUAUCUUGUUCUUGUCACGUCUAUACUAAUACGACUAAAUGCGUUAGCUAGCUAACCAACAACUGUCAAA
rnacentral:lncRNA from 13 species